AUUCCAUCAGUUCAGCCAUGAAAUUCCCUUGCCAUGAUGAAAUACACUUGCCAAAGGAUGGCUAAUACUGACCUUGGCAUUACCUAGCCCUGGUAGGAAGGCAGUCAACAGCUCACAUUGGCAGAGGUGGAAAACACCAUCAUGGAGGGGAAGAGAGACAAAGCGAGGGGAGAAAUGCAGAAGAGACUGAAGCUGAGAAUGAGAAUAAACAAAACACAGGUUUGGAAGUCAGACACCCAGACUCUGCCAUGGACUCAUCGCAUGAACCUUUAAUAACCGAAGUUAUUAAAUGGCUUCCCUGGUGGCACAGUGGUUGGGAAUCCGCCUGCCAAUGCAGUAGGACACGGGUUCGAGCCCCGGUCUCGGAGGAUCCCACAUGCCGCGGAGCAGCUGAGCCCAUGCGCCACAACUACUGAGCCUAUGUGCUACAACUACUGAAGCCUGAGCGCCUAGAGCCCGUGCUCCACAACAACAGAAGCCACCGCAAUGAGAGGCCCGCGCACCGCAGCGAAGAGUGGCCCCUGCUCGCCGCCAAUAGAGAAAGCCCGCACGCAGCAACAAAGACCCAACACAGCCAAAAAUAAAUAAAUAAAAUAAAUAAAUUUAAAAAAACAAA